UCCGGGGCCGAGGGAGGGAGUCUGUUUUAAUAUUAUAAAAACCACAGUGGGACUCGCCUGGUUCAUGCAGUAGGAUAUAGCAUCACGCAGGAUGCCUGCGAGGCUGUAUAUUAGAUCAGAAUAAUUGGCUGGGACAGCUAUCUGAGAUGGACAAAUGAGAACCUCCCCCUGAUUGACCUCAUGGCCCGAGGACUGGAUGGAACCAUGCUGCACAGUAUUUUGAUAUGUGGUGAUACAGGUCCUCCAGGGUGUGGUGAUACAGGUCCUCUAGUGUGUGGUGAUACAGGUCCUCCAGGGUGUGGUGAUACAGGUCCUCCAGGGUGUGGUGAUACAGGCCCUCCAGGGUGUGGUGAUACAGGUCCUCCAGGGUGUGGUGAUACAGGCCCUCCAGGGUGUGGUGAUACAGGUCCUCCAGGGUGUGGUGAUACAGGCCCUCCAGGGUGUGGUGAUACAGGCCCUCCAGGGUGUGGUGAUACAGACCCUCCAGGGUGUGGUGAUACAGGUCCUCCAGGGUGUGGUGAUACAGACCCUCCAGGGUGUGGUGAUACAGGUCCUCCAGGGUGUGGUGAUACAGGCCCUCCAGGGUGUGGUGAUACAGGCCCUCCAGGGUGUGGUGAUACAGACCCUCCAGGGUGUGGUGAUACAGGCCCUCCAGGGUGUGGUGAUACAGAGAAACCUAGAGAGACCAGAGACACUGUUCAAAGGUUGACACUGUUUUAGGGUGACACUGUUUCAGAGACACUGUUUUAGGGUGAUGUUAGUGUAAUGUUUGAUCAGAACGGUUUUGAUGAUCAAUGGAUUUGCAGGAUACAGUGACACACAGAGGGAAAUAUCAAUGCCCCUUCCUUAGUUGUUUUUGGAAAGACAUUAAUGCAAUAUGCCAUGCAGGAAUCCUGGCCUCCAAGCC
rnacentral:lncRNA from 1 species